rnacentral:misc_RNA from 1 species
GAUGAAGAACGUAGUGAAAUGCGAUAAGUAAUGCGAAUUGCAGAAUUCCAGUGAGUCAUCGAAUCUUUGAACGCACAUUGCGCCCUUUGGUAUUCCGAAGGGCAUGCCUGUUCGAGCGUCAUUAUCACCACUCAAGCCCGGCUUGCUGUUGGUGGCAGCGCAGCCGGUCAACCGGCUACGCUCCACCCAAAGAUAAUGACGGCGUCUGCGAGGACUCCUGUACAUUGAGCUUUCGGGCACGUACAUGGCUAGAAGUCCAGGCGCCGGUCGACGUCCUCCGGGACACUUUUUACCAAGGUUGACCUCGGAUCAGGUAGGGAUACCCGCUGAACUUAAGCAUAUCAAUAAGCGGAGGA